rnacentral:lncRNA from 10 species
UUUUUGACAGGGUCUUUUGUCACCCAGGCCAGAGUGCAGUGGCUCCAUCUCAGCUCAUUACAGCCUUGACCUCCCAGGCUCAAGUGAUCCUCCUACCUGAACCUCCAGAAUAGCUGAGACUACAGGUGCACACCAUCAUACCUGGCUAAUUUAAUUUUUUUUUUUUUUUUUGAGAUAAGAGUUCUGCCACUUUGCUCAUGCUGGUCUCAGACUCUUUUUUUUUUUUUUUUUUCCUGAGACCGAGUCUUGCUCUGUCACCCAGGCUGGAGUACAGGGGCAUGAUCUUGGCUCACUGCAACCUCCAUCUUCUGGGUUCAAGCCAUUCUCCUGCCUCAGCAUCCCCAGUAGCUGGGGUUACAGGCACGUGCCACCAUGCCCAGCUAAUUUUAGUAUUUUAGUAGAGAUGGGGUUUCACCAUGUUGGCCAGGCUGGUCUCAAACUCCUGACCUCAAGUGAUCCACUCAUCUUGGCCUCCCAAAGUGCUAGGAUUACAGGCAUGAGCUACCACACCCAGCCAGGUCUCAAACUCAAGCUCAAGUGAUCUUCCUGCCUUGGCCUCAAAGGUACUGGGAUUACAGGAAGAGGGAAGUUUGGACACAGACACACACAGACAAGAGAAUACCAUGUGACAAAGGCAGAGAUUGGAAUGAUACAGCUGCAAGCCAGGGAUGCCAAGGAUUGCAGGUGAAGAGUCAAGGAAGGAUUCUACCCAGAGUUGCACGGCCUUAUUGACACCUUGAUUUGGGCUUCUAGACUCCAGAAUCAUGACAGAAUAAAUUUAUCUGUGUGGAUGUGUGUGUGUGUGUGUGUGUGUGUGUGUGUGUGUGUGUUUUCCUAAAAAAGAGACAAGGUCUCAUUCUAUCCCCCAGGAUGGAGUGCAGUGUCAUGAUCAUAGCUCACUGCAGCCUCGAUCUCCUGGACUCAAAGCAUCUUCCCACCCCAGCCUCCCAGGAAUCUGGGACUACAGGUGUGAACCACUGUGCCGGCUCUGUUGAUUUAAGCCACCGAGUUUGUGGAACUUUGUUAUGGCAGUUCUAGAAAAUGAAUAUAAUAAUUAAAAUGAAAGUUUUGCUAACUGCUACCUUUACCUUUACCAUGUGCAAUUUUAUUUUAUUCUUUUUUUAAGCUUCUUAUAACUCAGUUCACUGGUUUCAUAAUCUACUAAUGGGUUGUAAUCCAAAGUGUGAAUAAUAUACCAGAAAUACCCUUGAAAGUUCUUUCCAAACUUGAGAGUUUGUGAUUCUAUGGGACCUAAGUGGGGCACAGAUCAGAAGAAUCAAAACACAAAAAAG